CUACGGGUGGCAGCAAUCGAGAAGCUUCGGCAAUGGGCGAAAGCCUGACCGAGCGAUGCCGCGUGAGCGAAGAAGGCCCUAUGGGUUGUAAAGCUCUGUCAGAUUGGGAAGAAAGCUUCGGGGUUAAUACCCCCGAAGUGUGACGGUACCAUCAGAGGAAGCACCGGCUAACUCCGUGCCAGCAGCCGCGGUAAUACGGAGGGUGCAAGCGUUGUUCGGAUUCACUGGGUAUAAAGGGUGCGCAGGCGGCCUGGUAAGUCAGGGGUGAAAUAUGACGGCUCAACCGUCAAACUGCCUCUGAAACUGCCAGGCUUGAGUCCGGGAGAGGAAGGUGGAAUUCCUGGUGUAGCGGUGAAAUGCGUAAAUAUCAGGAGGAACACCGGUGGCGAAGGCGGCCUUCUGGCCCGGAACUGACGCUCAUGCACGAAAGCCAGGGGAGCGAACGGGAUUAGAUACCCUGGUAGUC
rnacentral:rRNA from 1 species